rnacentral:lncRNA from 1 species
AACGUGUUCUGAAUAUUUAAUUUGCGUUGAAAAGCUAAAUCAAACGAUUUCCGUACGGAACUAACUUAAUUAAAUUAGUUUCGCACAAAAUGUGUCGGACAUUUUGAAUAUUUCAUUAUGAUUAAAAAUUAGAAUUUCUUAUGAAUCUUAAAUUAUGUAAUAAAUGGUUUAGAAAAGAUAAAAGAAAAUUUGUUUUUAGUAUUAUAUUGUGGCUAAUAAAGCGCUAAAAAGUCCCAUUUUAUAUACAGUCCAGUCAGUUGCAACAACAAUUAAAGCAGCAGGAAACAACCAAGUACACAUGCAAGUGACAAAGAGGAUUGCAAAAGUUUUAAAUAUCAGAAACUGAAGAAGGAAUUGAUAAUUAGCAGAUAACAAAAAAGCGCAAAAGUACUGAUUAUACAACUCUUUUAAAGUUGAGGAAGAAUUUUAUGUGGAAUGUUAAUGCAAAAGGUACGAAUAUUGUCAGUUAAACCAUCACCACCUCCACAGCCACCUUAUCUUAAGCAUUCAAUUGCAUUCUAAGUUAUCUUUAUUCAAAUCAAGUGUGACUACUAUACCAAAAGACUGUAGAAUGGACCAAUCAACUAACCCAUCAGUACUUGCAAAGUCUUCUUUUCUGUAAGCCCGAAAUUUGAGUUCUAAAAUACCAUUAUCCACAUAACUACUAUAUCAAAGCACAAACUAAUGGAUUGAUCAA